rnacentral:rRNA from 1 species
AGAGUUUGAUCAUGGCUCAGGAUGAACGCUGGCGGCGUGCUUAACACAUGCAAGUCGAACGAUGAACUCCAGCUUGCUGGGGGGAUUAGUGGCGAACGGGUGAGUAACACGUGAGCAACCUGCCCUGGACUCUGGGAUAAGCGCUGGAAACGGCGUCUAAUACUGGAUAUGAGCUCUUACCGCAUGGUGGGGGUUGGAAAGAUUUUUUGGUCUGGGAUGGGCUCGCGGCCUAUCAGCUUGUUGGUGAGGUAAUGGCUCACCAAGGCGUCGACGGGUAGCCGGCCUGAGAGGGUGACCGGCCACACUGGGACUGAGACACGGCCCAGACUCCUACGGGAGGCAGCAGUGGGGAAUAUUGCACAAUGGGCGGAAGCCUGAUGCAGCAACGCCGCGUGAGGGAUGACGGCCUUCGGGUUGUAAACCUCUUUUAGCAAGGAAGAAGCGAAAGUGACGGUACUUGCAGAAAAAGCGCCGGCUAACUACGUGCCAGCAGCCGCGGUAAUACGUAGGGCGCAAGCGUUAUCCGGAAUUAUUGGGCGUAAAGAGCUCGUAGGCGGUUUGUCGCGUCUGCUGUGAAAUCCCGAGGCUCAACCUCGGGCCUGCAGUGGGUACGGGCAGACUAGAGUGCGGUAGGGGAGAUUGGAAUUCCUGGUGUAGCGGUGGAAUGCGCAGAUAUCAGGAGGAACACCGAUGGCGAAGGCAGAUCUCUGGGCCGUAACUGACGCUGAGGAGCGAAAGGGUGGGGAGCAAACAGGCUUAGAUACCCUGGUAGUCCACCCCGUAAACGUUGGGAACUAGUUGUGGGGUCCUUUCCACGGAUUCCGUGACGCAGCUAACGCAUUAA